GUGGGGAAUCUUAGACAAUGGGCGCAAGCCUGAUCUAGCCAUGCCGCGUGAGCGAUGAAGGCCUUAGGGUUGUAAAGCUCUUUCAGCUGGGAAGAUAAUGACGGUACCAGCAGAAGAAGCCCCGGCUAACUCCGUGCCAGCAGCCGCGGUAAUACGGAGGGGGCUAGCGUUGUUCGGAAUUACUGGGCGGAAAGCGCACGUAGGCGGAUCAGAAAGUCAGAGGUGAAAUCCCAGGGCUGAACCUGGGAACUGCCUUUGAAACUCCUGAUCUUGAGGGCGAGAGAGGUGAGUGGAAUUCCGAGUGUAGAGGUGAAAUUCGUAGAUAUUCGGAGGAACACCAGUGGCGAAGGCGGCUCACUGGCUCGAUACUGACGCUGAGGUGCGAAAGCGUGGGGAGCAAACAGGAUUAGAAACCCUGGUAGUCC
rnacentral:rRNA from 1 species